UACGGAGGUGGCAAGCGUUGCUCGGAUUCACUGGGUGUAAAGGGCAAGUAGGCGGCUUCGUAAGUCGGGCGUGAAAUCCCGUGGCUCAACCAUGGGGCUGCGCCCGAAACUGCGAGGCUAGAGGAUGGGAGAGGCGAACGGAAUUCCCGGUGUAAGGGUGAAAUCUGUAGAUAUCGGGAGGAACACCAGUGGCGAAGGCGGUUCGCUGGACCAUUUCUGACGCUGAGAGGCGAAAGCUAGGGGAGCAAACAGG
rnacentral:rRNA from 1 species